rnacentral:tRNA from 1 species
GCAGAUAUAGUUUUAAUUAAAACCUUAGAUUGUGAUUCUAAAGAUAGGCGUUAAAAUCCCCUUAUCUGCA